rnacentral:rRNA from 1 species
CCUACGGGAGGCAGCAGUGGGGGAUAUUGCACAAUGGCGGGAACCCUGAUGCAGCGACGCCGCGUGGGUGAAGAAGCGCCUAGGCGCGUAAAGCUCUGUCUGCAGGGAAGAAAAUGACGGUACCUGAAGAAGAAGCCACGGCUAACUACGUGCCAGCAGCCGCGGUAAUACGUAGGGGGCAAGCGUUAUCCGGAUUUACUGGGUGUAAAGGGGGCGCAGACGGGGAUGCAAGCCAGGAGUGAAAGCUCGGGGCCCAACCACGUGACUGCUGUUGGAACUGCGUGGCUGGAGUGCAGGAGGGGCAGGCGGAAUGCGUGGUGUAGCGGUGAAAUGCGUAGAUAUCAGGAGGAACACCGGUGGCGAAGGCAGCCUGCUGGACUGCAACUGACGUUGAGGCCCGAAAGCGUGGGGAGCAAACAGGAUUAGAUACCCGAGUAGUC